rnacentral:rRNA from 1 species
GGAUGAACGCUGGCGGCGUGCCUAAUACAUGCAAGUCGAACGAGGUGCCUUUGUAGCAAUACGAAGGUAUCCUAGUGGCGAACGGGUGAGUAACGCUUGGUGACCUACCCCAAAGUGUGGGAUAACAGAUCGAAAGAUCUGCUAAUACCGCAUGUGGUCUUCGGAUUUAGAAACUGAUGACUAAAGGAGCAAUUCGCUUUGGGAGGGACCUGCGUCCCAUCAGCUAGUUGGUGAGGUAAUGGCUCACCAAGGCUACGACGGGUAGGGGACCUGAGAGGGUGGCCCCCCACAAUGGAACUGAAACACGGUCCAUACACCUACGGGUGGCAGCAGUAGGGAAUAUUGCACAAUGGGCGAAAGCCUGAUGCAGCAACGCCGCGUGUGCGAUGAAGGCCUUCGGGUCGUAAAGCACUUUUCUGAGGGAUGAGCAAGGACAGUACCUCAGGAAUAAGUCUCGGCUAACUACGUG